rnacentral:rRNA from 1 species
AGUCCUUCGGGACUUUGAGAGCGGCGUACGGGUGCGUAACACGUGUGCAACCUACCUUUAUCAGGGGAAUAGCCUUUCGAAAGGAAGAUUAAUACCCCAUAAUAUAUUGAAUGGCAUCAUUUAAUAUUGAAAACUCCGGUGGAUAGAGAUGGGCACGCGCAAGAUUAGAUAGUUGGUGAGGUAACGGCUCACCAAGUCAAUGAUCUUUAGGGGUCCUGAGAGGGAGAUCCCCCACACUGGUACUGAGACACGGACCAGACUCCUACGGGAGGCAGCAGUGAGGAAUAUUGGACAAUGGGUGAGAGCCUGAUCCAGCCAUCCCGCGUGAAGGAUGACGGUCCUAUGGAUUGUAAACUUCUUUUGUAUAGGAAUAAACCUACUCUCGUGAGAGUAGCUGAAGGUACUAUACGAAUAAGCACCGGCUAACUCCGUGCCAGCAGCCGCGGUAAUACGGAGGGUGCAAGCGUUAUCCGGAUUUAUUGGGUUUAAAGGGUCCGUAGGCGGACCGAUAAGUCAGUGGUGAAAUCUCAUAGCUUAACUAUGAAACUGCCGUUGAUACUGUCGGUCUUGAGUAAAUUUGAAGUGGCUGGAAUAAGUAGUGUAG